rnacentral:rRNA from 1 species
UACGAAGGGGGCUAGCGUUGCUCGGAAUUACUGGGCGUAAAGCGCACGUAGGCGGCUUUCUAAGUCAGUGGUGAAAGCCCCAAGCUUAACUUGGGAACUGCCAUUGAUACUGAUGGUCUUGAGUACACUUGAGGUGGGCGGAAUGUGUCAUGUAGCGGUGAAAUGCUUAGAUAUGACACAGAACACCGAUUGCGAAGGCAGCUGGCUACACAAAUAUUGACACUGAGGCUCGAAAGCGUGGGGAUCAAACAGG